rnacentral:rRNA from 1 species
CCUACGGGUGGCAGCAGUGGGGAAUCUUGCGCAAUGGGCGAAAGCCUGACGCAGCGACGCCGCGUGAGUGAUGAAGGCCCUCGGUUGUAAAGCUCUGGGCGAGAAGGUCCGGUACCCGUUUAGCAAGCACCGGCUAACUCUGUGCCAGCAGCCGCGGUAAGACAGAGGGUGCAAACGUUGUUGGGAAUUACGGGCGUAAAGCGCGUGUAGGCUGCUCCGCAAGGCGGAUGUGAAAGCCCUGGGCUCAACCUGGGAAGUGCAUUCGAUACUGCAGAGCUUGAGUCCUGGAGAGGAAGGCGGAAUUCUCGGUGUAGAGGUGAAAUUCGUAGAUAUCGAGAGGAACACCGGUGGCGAAGCGGCCUUCUGGCAUGACUGACGCUGAGACGCGAAAGUGUGGGGAGCAAACAGGAUUAGAUACCCUUGUAGUC